UGAGAGAAAGAGAAAGGGAAAGGGCAAGAAUUUGAUUGUGUGGUUGCUAAAAAAAGAAAAAAGACAAGCAUUUAGAAAGAGAGAAAGAUUUAGAGAGAAAGAAUAAUUUAGAGAGAGAAAACUUAAGAGAGAGCGGAAAGAGAAAGAGAGACAUUUGAAAAGAAUAAUUUAGAGAGAAAAAGAUUAAGAGAGAGCGAAAAGAGAAAGAAAGACAUUUGAAAAGGAGAGAGAAAGGAGGGGAGAGAGAGGAAAAAGGGGAGAC
rnacentral:lncRNA from 1 species